rfam:Hassallia byssoidea VB512170 scaffold_1, whole genome shotgun sequence.
UAAGGUGACUAUAGCGGUGGGGUUCACCUCUUCCCAUUCCGAACAGAGAAGUUAAGCCCGCCAGCGCUGAUGGUACUGCAAUAACAUGCGGGAGAGUAAGUCGUUGCCUUUA